ACGCUUUAGCAGCACAUAUACUAAAAUUGGAACGAUACAGAGAAGAUUAGCAUGGCCCCUGGGCAAGGAUGACACGCAAAUUCGUGAACCGUUCCAUAUUUUU
ensembl:snRNA U6 U6 spliceosomal RNA